rnacentral:rRNA from 1 species
GAUGAACGCUGGCGGCGUGCCUAAUACAUGCAAGUCGUACGGAAAGGCCCUUCGGGGUACUCGAGUGGCGGACGGCUGAGUAACGCGUGGGAACGUGCCCCAAAGUGAGGGAUAACGCACCGAAAGGUGUGCUAAUACCGCAUAUGGUCUUCGGAUUAAAGCUUCGGCGCUUUGGGAGCGGCCCGCGUACGAUUAGAUAGUUGGUGAGGUAAUGGCUCACCAAGUCGACGAUCGUUAGCUGGUCUGAGAGGACGAUCAGCCAGACUGGGACUGAGACACGGCCCAGACUCCUACGGGAGGCAGCAGUAAGGAAUCUUCCACAAUGGGGGCAACCCUGAUGGAGCAACGCCGCGUGCAGGAUGAAGGUUUUCGGAUCGUAAACUGCUUUUAUGAGUGAAGAAUAUGACGGUAACUUAUGAAUAAGGAUCGGCUAACUACGUGCCAGCCGCCGCUGUAA